UGUGUGUGUGUGUGAUAGAUAUCUAUACUUAGUUUGUCUAUAUGUGAGUGUGUGGCACAUAUAGACAAACUAAGUAUAGAUAUCUAUCACACACACACACA
rnacentral:pre_miRNA from 1 species